rnacentral:rRNA from 1 species
GCACGUAGUUAGCCGCAGCUUCUUCUUCAGGUACCGUCAUUAUCGUCCCUGCCGAAAGAGCUUUACACCCCGAAGGGCUUCAUCGCUCACGCGGCGUCGCUGCAUCAGGGUUUCCCCCAUUGUGCAAGAUUCCCCACUGCUGCCUCCCGUAGGAGUCUGGCCCGUGUUUCAGUGCCAGUGUGGCCGUGUGCCCUCUCAGGCCGGCUAUCGAUCUCAGCUUUGGUGAGCCUUUACCCCACCAACAGGCUAAUCGACCGCGGGCUCCUCUCUCGGCGAUUUUCACCUUUCCUCUUUCGAGCUUAUGCGGUAUUAGCUCCGGUUUCCCAGAGUUAUUCCCCACCCAGAGGCAGAUUACCCACGUGUUACUCACCCGUGCGCCACUUUACUCAGGGGUUGCCCCCCUUUCUCGUUCGACUUGCAUGUGUUAAGCGCGCCGCCAGCGUUGAUU